rnacentral:piRNA from 1 species
UAAGACGGCCAAAUUAUUUUC